rnacentral:rRNA from 1 species
UACGAAGGGAGCUAGCGUUGUUCGGAAUCACUGGGCGUAAAGCGCACGUAGGCGGAUGUGUCAGUCAGGGGUGAAAUCCCGGAGCUCAACUUCGGAACUGCCUUUGAUACAGCACGUCUUGAGUCCGAUAGAGGUGGGCGGAAUUCCUAGUGUAGAGGUGAAAUUCGUAGAUAUUAGGAAGAACACCGGUGGCGAAGGCGGCCCACUGGAUCGGUACUGACGCUGAGGUGCGAAAGCGUGGGGAGCAAACAGG